rfam:Triticum aestivum genome assembly, contig: Triticum_aestivum_CS42_TGACv1_scaffold_254375_3DL
CAAGUACUCCCUCCGUCUGGUAAUACUUGUUGGAGAAAUGGACGUAUCUAGACAUAUUUUAGUACUAGAUACAUCCAUUUAUGCGACAAAUAAUUUCAAACGGAGGGAGUAGGUA